rnacentral:rRNA from 1 species
AGCGAACGCUGGCGGCAGGCCUAAUACAUGCAAGUCGAACGGCUCUUCGGAGCAGUGGCGGACGGGUGAGUAACGCGUGGGAACGUGCCCUUUGGUUCGGAACAACACAGGGAAACUUGUGCUAAUACCGAAUGUGCCCUUCGGGGGAAAGAUUUAUCGCCAUUGGAGCGGCCCGCGUUGGAUUAGCUAGUUGGUGGGGUAAUGGCCCACCAAGGCUGCGAUCCAUGGCUGGUCUGAGAGGAUGAUCAGCCACACUGGGACGGAGACACGGCCCAGCCUCCGACGGGGGGCGCCAGAAGGUAACCUAGCGGAGGGGGCAAAAGCCUGACGAAGCCAGGCCGCGUGAUGGAUAGAGGUGUUAGGAUGGUAAAUUUUUUCCACCGGGAAAUAAAAUGACGGUCCCCGGAGAAAAAGCCCCGCCUAACUUCUUGCCAGCAGCCGCCUAAA